CUUCCCAGUCCUAUAAAAAGGCCGUCAUUGACCGUACAGUCAUCCACUGAUCACCUGGUUCCUCAUCUGCAUUGGAGCAUCUGAUACACGGAGAUCCAGAAAAGAUGUCCUACCAGAAUCAGCAGCAGUGCAAACAGCCUUGCCAGCUACCUCCCAAUUGGUCACAGCCUUGCCAGCCUGUGUGCCCAGAGGCAUGCCCUCCUGUGUGCCCAGAGCCAUGCCCUCCUAGGUGCCCAGAGCCUUGUCCUCCUAGGUGCCCAGAGCCAUGCCCUCCUGUGUGCCCAGAGCCAUGCCCUCCUGUGUGCCCUGAGCCAUGUCCUCCUAGGUGCCCUGAGCCAUGUCCUCCUAGGUGCCCUGAGCUAUGCCCACCACAGCAAUGCCAGCAGAAAUGUCCUCCAUGCCCUCCACCUUGUCAGAAGUAGCACUCUGGCCAGGGGGAAAGUGUCAGAUGCUGGUAGCACCAUGAAACAAGGAGCAUGAGCAUCCCUGUGGAAGCUGGGCUCCUCUUUCCUCUCUCUAAACCUCCAUGCCCCUCUGAUCUUGUUUUGCUCUGGAUGGAAUUCCUGGGAGAACCUUUGUUCCUGGAGCUACAAUCAUUUCAGAAACAAGGCUUCUACUUCAUUCGUCUUUCCCAGCCCCCUCCCCACCUCCUCAGAUGAGAGAUGGCAGAGAAAAGAUCAAUCUACUCAACGCCAGGUGUCCUGGAACUUCAGGGGAAAGUUGACCCUCAAGAACCAGACUCCUGGCCCCCUGCCUCUGCAUGAGCUCUCCUCUGUGCUGCAACCUGGGAGGGUGGACUCCAUCCCUGGACCCUUAUAACUCUUCCCACUGCCCCAAAUAAAGCAUAUGUUUCACGGUGA